GAUGAACGCUGGCGGCGUGCCUAAUACAUGCAAGCCGAGCGAACGGACGAGAAGCUUGCUUCUCUGAUGUUAGCGGCGGACGGGUGAGUAACACGUGGAUAACCUACUUAUAAGACUGGGAUAACUUCGGGAAACCGGAGCUAAUACCGGAUAAUAUUUUGAACCGCAUGGUUCAAAAGUGAAAGACGGUCUUGCUGUCACUUAUAGAUGGAUCCGCGCUGCA
rnacentral:rRNA from 1 species